rnacentral:sRNA from 1 species
GUCAACAACCCACCACUGGCUUGAGUACAAGUACAGUGGGGGCUUGAAAUACAGCCCUAGUUGACCCGCCUAAGUCUUAACUGACUCCGUUAUUUGGGUCACGNAGAUCUCGGAUGUAAUCACGGGUUUUCGG